rnacentral:tRNA from 1 species
GGAUUGUGGCUCAGUGGUAGAGCACUUGCCUAGCAUGCAUGAGGCACUGGGUUCAAUCCCUGGCACCCA